GUCGGGAUUCCCGGCGCAGACCGGGAAUCCCCCUAGCAGACCGAAGCUCUAGACAGGACUCGGCAUGAGUGAGACUCGAACCAUCGCCCGUCUGUACUUCAAGGUGCCAGGGGCCGGCGACAAGUGCUCUGCGCCACCUGCCAGGCCGUGGAAUUAGUGCAAAUGUGUUUGUUUUCAUCUUAAACCAUUGUCAGUGACGUCAUUCUACGCGACUACCACAGGUGAAGGUGCUGCCCACCCAUGAUGCCAGCAAGGUGCGUGCAAGUGGAUCCGGCCUUAAAACCACUGGAGUGCCCAGCUCUCUGCCAGUGAAGUUCAACAUUGAUGGCAAAGAUGCAGGACCCAGACGGGAAGCCCAAGAAGCAAAUAUCUGUGACAACCAUGAUGGGACCUACCUGGUGUCUUAUGUGCCAGACAUGACUGACAGGUACACCACACUCAUUAAGUACGGAGGAGACGAGAUCCCUUAUUCACCCUACUGAAUCAGGGCUCUGCCCACCCGAGAUGCCAGCAAGUGCACUGUCACUGAAUGUUGCGCACAGCUGCUCUUUUCUGCUCCGCGCUGCACG